rnacentral:lncRNA from 1 species
GUUUAUUAAAUAUUAACUCACACGUUCACAAGGUCCCACAAUGGGCUGUCUGCAAGCUGAGGAGGAAGGAGAGCCAGUCAGAGUUCCAAAACUGAAGAAUUUGGAGUCCAAUGUUCGGGGACAGGAAGCAUCCAGCAGGGGAGAAAGAUACACGCUGGGAAGGCUAAGCUAGUCUCUUUUCACAUUUUUCUGUCUGCUUAUAUUCUAGCCAUGCUGACAGCUGAUUAGAUUGUGCCCACCCAGAUUAAGGGUGGGCCUGCCUUUCCCAGCUCACUGACUCAAAUGUCAAUCUCCUUGGGCAACACCCUCACAGACACACCUGGAAUCAAUAUUUUGUAUUCUCCAAUCCAAUCAAGUUGACACUCAGUAUUAACUAUCACAAAGGGCUAGCACCUGAUUUGUUGACUCUCAUUUACUUCUGGUUCUAACAUUCCAUGAUUCUAAAACAAACAGAAAUCACACUGAAGUACAAAGCCCCCAGACCCCAGAAAGCAAAAACACAGCAGAAACUACAAAGCAAACAGCUAACAAUAUCGUGAUAGGAUCGAAACCUCAUGUAUCAAUAUUAAACUUGAAUGUAAAUGGUCUAACCACCCUGCUUAAACAGGACACCCUCUCAACUUCUCCUGCCUAUUUUAAUUUCAUAUUCAGGCUGGAAGAAAGGGGCAACGAAUUUCUCAUAAAAUUGUAUUUGAGCUACUGGAAUUCAGUUAAAUACCCACAGGUUCAAUAGAAAGGCCCUUUUGUGUGAAGUAAAGCUAUAUCAGUGAGUGAGCUUGACUCAAUUUAGUUAUUCCCACAUCUAUUUUUUUAAUGAGAAUGAGUAAUAUUUCCGGAAAGAGAAGAAAAGUUAGCACCACUUAAGAGAUCCCGGGGCUCUAAGAUAGCAUCAACUAAAUGCUAUAGUUUCUUAUUACUUUUGGGGAGAAGCUAAUGUACAGCAAUUUGAAAUCCAGGCAAUAUUGCAUCCUAGAAAAGAAGCCAUUUAACUUUAUCCAUGGGAUUAAAAGACUAAAUUUUCUUUUCUUAGUACUAUCAUAGAAUAAUUUAGUUUUCUCCAGUAGAAGCAGUAUUUCCACAACAGAUCAGGGGAUGGCAGUAAAGAGUUGCUCUCUGGUCAAUAAAGUAUUUGUAUGACAGAGAAAAAUUAUAGUUUAAACUAAUUUAUUUGUAUAUUGUAUUGCCCCUAAUAAAAUUCACACACCAUUUUGUUGGCUUGAAUUAAAGUGUCAUCAAAGGGCUUGUGGAGAUUAGUUUGGGCAUUGACUUAACAUGGCAUCUCAAAAUAAAUACUCCCCAAAUUGCAUUUUACCAUUGCAUAUGAAGCCCGCAACCAGCGAAAAUCAUAAUGAUUUUAUCAGGAUCAGGUAUUUAAGUGACUUUAAUUAAAUCCAUCUCUGGUAUGGGGUUGGUGAUUUCUAUUUUAGGGCAAUUCUUAAUCCAAAUAUUUGACUUAUUUCAGAAUAUUUAAUUCACAUCCCUGUUUCACAGAAUUUUACUUAAAGUAAAAACCAACCUAGGAGCCUUGUGUCUUUGUCCUAACUCUAUAGGUAUGUGUGGGUGUCUCUGGUUGGAAAUGUACAGGGCUGCUAGAGAAAUGGAGAAAGAAAGCAUCCACACCGUGCAUCUGAAGAGCACUAAGUAAACUCCUCUGUCUUUCUGUCUAAUGUUCUGAGCAAUAUUAGAUAGGGUACCUGGAAUGAAUCAAACUGUUAGCAGUGGUGAGUAUCUGAGUUACAAGCAGUGAGUCCAUACGGGUCUGCAGCCACCUCAAUUAUUGUCUUCAAAGAAGAAAAAAUUCGACUGAGGGGCAUAAUGCAGAAGAACAGAUUGAGGCAAGUUUUAGAGCAUGAGUGAAAGUUGACUUAAAAAUUUGAGAGCAGGGGCACGGCUCAGUGGCUUAUGCCUGUAAUCUCAGCACUUUGGGAGGCUGAGGCAGGUGGAUCAUCUGAGCUCAGCCUGGGCAACAUAGUGAAACCUCAUCUCUACAAAAAAAUUUUUUAAAAAACUACUUAGGAGGCUGAGGUGGGAGGAUUGCUUGAGCCUGGGAGGUGGAUGGUGCAGUGAGCCAAGAUCACGCUAUUACACUCCAGCCUGGGUGACAAAGUGAGACCCUGUCUUAAAAAAAAAAAGAAAAGAAAAGAAAAGAAAAAGAAAAAAGAAAGAAAGGAAGAAAGAAAAGGAAAGAAAAAAAAAAGCUUUGGAGCAGGAACAAAAGAAAAAAAAAGUACAUUUGGAAGAGGCCCAAGCAAGCGACUUUGAAGGACAAGUGCAGGGUUUGACCUUUUGACUUGGGUUUUGUUUUUUUGUUUUUGUUUUGUUUGUUUUUUGUUUUUGUUUUGGUGACAGAGUCUUGCUCUGUCACCCAGGCUUGAGUGCAGUGGUGCGAUCUGGGCUCACUGCAACCUCCGCCUCCCGGGUUCAAGCAAUUAUCUGUCUCAGCCUCCUGAGUAACUGAGAUUACAGGUGCCCGCCACCACGCCUGGCUAAUUUUUGUAUUUUUAGUAGAGACAAGGUUUCAUCAUGUUGGCCAGGCAGGUCUUGAACUCCUAACCUCGUGAUCCAUCCGCCUCGGCCUGCCAAAGUGCCUGGAUUACAGGCGUGAGCCACUGCACCCGGCCCGACUUGGGGUUUUAUAUGUUGGCGUGAUUCUGGGUCUUGCGUUCCUUCUCCCCUGAUUCUUCUCUUGGUGUGGGUUGUCCACAUACACAGUGGCCUGCUAGUGCUUGGGAGGGGAGCAUGCACGGUGUGUUUACUGGAGUUGUACGCAUGCUCACCUGAGGCAUUCUUCCCUUUUGCCGUGGAAUGGGCGCGGAAGGUCAUAUACCAGUUAAAUUCCACCGUUUUGCCUCUUAGUGCACAUGUGUGAGCCCACUUGCCCAGCUCCUAAGAUCUCAUCAGGAAGCUGCUGAUCACCAGUUUCAGUUUUUUCCUGUCUAUAGGGAAACUGCCUUUCCCUGGCACUGGCUGCGACCAAUUAUUAUUUUAGAGGCAGUGUGACAACUGUCUGACCAUCACCUGAUGGUCACCCGACUUUUCUGAUGGGGUGAUGGGGGAGCCCUCUCUUGCCCCAUUCAUGCCUGACUAGCCACCUACUGUAACAAAGUCAUGCAAGCCAGAUCCCAGCUAUAUUCUAGUACCUGGGACUUCCUUUGCAGCACUUAUCAAAACUGUAAUUAUUUAACGAUUUGUAUUUUUCUAAUUAUCUAUCUGCACCACCUAGAUAGAUUUGUAUUUUUCUAAUUAUCUAUCUGCAUCACCCUGCCUCACCUCACUUCCUUCAAGGUUGUAUCCUUGGCAAUGCUCACAAUGCCUGUUCAUAGCAGAGGCUCCGGGAUAGUCUCAUAGUCAUCUUAAAAUUCCUAGUACUUAGCACAUAUCAUGUAAAUGUAAGGUUUCUUGGAUAAAGCUUUGGCUACUUUAGUCUGUCUAUAGGAUACUGCAGUAAACAAAAAACAUUUCAUGCUCUCAUGAAAACAUUCUAGUGCAAGAUGGGGGAACAGAGGUAAUAGAUACAAAUGUCAUAUGUAUGAAUAGUUAAGCAAUUGUGAUAUCAUAUCAGACAGUGAUAAGUGUGUGUACACAGACACCUCUACAAUGUCAGGGGUCUGCUCUGGGAAACUGACAGCCAAGUACAGAGUUGAAAGAACUGUCCCCUGAAGAGCAUAGAAGAGAUUUCUAGGCACGGGAACAGCUCAUGCGAAGGUCCUGCACAAGAGUUUGGCAGGUUCAAAAGGCCAGUGAGGCCAGAAGGAAUUGAAGGAAGGCAUGGCCAUCCAUCCAUGCCAUUCCGUUCAGUGAAAACCAAAGAAAAGUAGCUUGAACAACCCAAGAAGUCCAGUAAUAGAACAAUCAUUUAAUAACAAACAUAAAGGAACCUGCCCUAACCGUGCAAACCCAUAGUGUUCAACAGUCUUAGCUUCUGAUUUUGCAACAUUAUGUAAAGCUUAGGGAAAGAUUCUUUCUGUAAUGCUAAUUUAAGUAUCAAGAGAAAAAAUUGCUUAGACAGGAUAGGUUCAACUGGGCAAGGACUCUUGAAAGGUAACUCAUGCUUGUUCAUUAAUGCAAUAUUUAACAAAUACUGAAUGGCUUCUAGUGUCAGACAUUGUUCUUAAUAGUAUUGGGGACACGACAGUGAACAACAUAGAAAACAACACCUGUCCUCAUGGAGCUUAUAUAUUUGUUGUGGAGAGAUAGCCAAAAAUAAAAAUAAAAAUUUCACAAAGGACUAGAUCAAGCUUGUCCAACCCAUGGCCCAUGGGCUGCAUGCAGCCCAGGAUGGCUUUGAAUGUGGCUGAACACAAAUUCAUAAACUUUGUUAAAACAUUAUGAGAUCUCUUCUGCAAUUUUUUUAAGCUUAUCAGCUAUCAUUAGUGUUACUGUAUUUGAUGUGUGGCCCAAGACAAUUCUUCUUUUUCCAAGGUGGCCCAGAGAAGCCAAAAGAUUGAACACCCCUGGAUUAGAUCAUUUCAGCUGCAACAAGUACUAAAAAAGAAAAGUGCCAGAACUAACUUGGAUAGUUGGAUGCUUUCCUUUUAGCAAAUAACCUGUCAGCCUAUCAAUCACUUAAUAAUAAGAGAGGUUCCCUUUAUGUAAUAGAAUAAUGGAAUGAUUUUUCUCCUUCAUGUUUUCUGCAUUUUCUAAUUUUUUUACAGUGACAAUGCUACUUUACUUAUCAAAUAAAAAAUUUAUUAAAUAAUACAUAAAGAUAUUCUUGUUAACAUUUCAGACAUUAAAGACAAAGCUAAGGCUUCCUUUACCAAAGGAAAGGUGACAGGCAUAAACUCACAUAAUCAAUCAGCUUUGUUAAAAGUGACAAAGAUUUGAAGUGUGUGAUUCGGUGCCUCUGCUUCAUAACUAGAAUAAAUUUUCUCAGAAAGUUAUCUCUCUUCCCAGAAGAAUAAGAAAACAUACUUUAUUAUUUUUAACACAAAUUCCUCCUUCCUUUAUUUUUAACACAAAUUCCUCUUUCCUUUAAUUUGUGAAAAAAAAGUAGUAUCAGGAGGGGUACCAUUGUUAGCCCCAUGUGAUCAAACAAAUAAUCUGCAAUUCUAUUGUAGAUAAGCAGCAAGAAAUGCUUUUAGGGUUUGGUUCACAUGUUACAGAGAAGUUAGUGGACCUCAGUAGAAUGAGGCUCUUAUUUUAAAAACCUUCUUGAUCAGAUGUUCAAACUGAGGGUCAAAACACUGUUGAUUGCCAUGAAACCUAUUGUGAAAAUGGGUUAUCAACACCAACUAAAACUGCUUCCGCAAGGCAUAUGGAAUCUCCAUGGUACAGUCCUCAGAAACAACACUGGUAAAACCAAUGUGCCACAUUACUUUCAAAUAAGCCUCCCCUGAACAAUAUGUGAUAUUGAUGAGACAUAUGGGUACUAGCCUACUAUGGUUUUAAAGCAUAUAGUCUCUUUUAAGCAAUGAAGUCUGAGGGAGAAUAACCAGAACAUUAAGAUAACAGAAGAAACAUUCUAAUUAUGUUGAUUAACCUUCCUCCCAACUGAAAGAAGUAUUAUUUUCUGCCACUGCUCUGUUAAUGUACAUACAUAUUUCUAGAUAAAAAUUAAUAUAACCACUACAAAAACCUAGGAGCAAGUUGGGGGCAGGGGGAAAUCAAUAAAGUACCAAAACAGAUAAAACUGAUAUACCGCACCCGAGUUUCAAUAUACUAUAAAUUAUUUCUUCCUCAAGAUUCUAUCCUUCUUUACUCCCCUCCUCCAUUACAGAAUCUCAAUUUAAAAGAAAAAUGUAUUUGAUAAUAAAUAGCAUUUAGAAAUUCUCAAGGAAAGGCAAGUGUAUCUUGUAUCUCUUGCUCUUUUCCCAGGCUUUCUUACCUUUCUUUGAAAGACCAAAAAAAAAAAGAAAAGAAAAAAGAAAGAAAGGGCACCAAGAAGAGAUUGUUUGGCACUGCGCGGUUCACCAUCAUGCGAUACUGACGUAAUGGUCUGGGGCACACUGACUGGCUGCCUCAGAACUGGUCACUCUCUCUUUCUUUUCGCAUAUGGAGCAGCAAUCAGCUUACAACUAAAUCACAUCUGAGCACAAGCUGUCUCCACAAAGCCAACCAAAGAGGCAACAUUCACAGGCUGACAAAGCAUCCCUAAAGCAGGAAAGAAAAGAAGCCCCUGAGGCUGCUGCCCGGAGAAGGAAAAGGCUUUCAACAUUCAUACCAGUCUGUUGGGGCAUUGUGCAGACCACAGAGGGAGAGUAACUGAUGGAAUACUCUCUGAAGUUCACACUUGGGCGAAGCUGCAUGUUUAACAUCAGGAGUGGGAGGAAAGUUUAAAGAACCUUGCCAGUGAUGUAUUAUUAAAGAAGGAAGGAAGGAGGAAGAAUGGAAGGAGGAGGGAAGAAGAAGGAAGGAGGUGAGAGGUGUGCGGA